GAGAGAGAGAGAGAGAGAGAUUUGUUUAUUAUCUCGGUCUGUUUUAUAUAGACCCCUUGGCUUUCUUUUGAGAGAGAGAGAGAGAGAGAGAGAUUCUUUCACUGUUCCAGCGACUGUAGGAAGCAUCCAAAGGGAUCGCAUUGAUCCUCUUAUCAGGGAGAAAGAUGGAACUUGGAUCAUGCGAUCCUUUUGGAAACCUCCUCCUGCCGCUUCUCUAUCUUGCCAACAGGUGUACAUGUUCUUAUGGUGCGCACCACAAGUCGGAUAUAUCAACAUAUCUGUAUGUGUACUCACCCACAACUCAAUAACCGGAUGCAUUUCAUUCGUUGGGCCACUCGUAUACAGGAGCAUUGGCUUCGCUACACUCCCGCAAGUACCAGGGUGAUAUGUGUCCGUUACAUCUACGCCCUUCCAAAGGUGGGACCCAUUUGGAAUUUACCGGACCCCAGAAUCAGGCCACUCAUCCAGCGAGACUCCCAUAAUGGAUCCAUGAAGAACCCAAUUCCAUCAAGCAGAAGCUGGCGCAGCCGCGGCGUCCGUACUGGAGGAAGUAACUGACUCGGGUGCAGAAGCGAAGGAAUUAGAUGACUCGGCAGACUCGGGCGC